CGCAACUACAGUUUGAAUGUGUUGUACCCCCUAAAUCCAUGCUGACAUCUCCUUGAUGAUCCAUCAGUAUGAAGAACAAAGCCAUGUGAUGAAGCUGCAAGGGUUUUGCCCUCAUGACGGAACUGUGAUGACAAGGACCAGAUCAGUGGGUGCCAGGGACUAAAGCACUGCGUGGGACUCCGAUGAUAAAUUUCCUCCCUGGGGGACACUACUCGAAGCCACACAAACAGAGCACAAAGAAGAGCUGUUGAAGACAUCUACGCCAAAUGCGAAACCGAGGAGCACAUUCUGAAUCUUUUUUUUUAAAUAAGAUUAUAAGUUCUAUGCCCUAAAGGAAGAAAACUCAGUCAAACCCAGGGCUGUCCACCUCUACAUCAGACUUAAAGAGGCCAAAAGGGCUAAGAGAGUUCUAGCAAACCCUUUAAAGUUCCUGUGGGCAAGAGGAAGGUACAAGUUGCAAAUGUAAUAAUAAGAAUUUUCUUUAGGGACUGGAAAGAUGACUUAGUGGUUGAGCAUUUGCUGUUUCUGCAGAGGAUCAGGGUUCAGUUCCCAACACCCAUCCUGGGUAGCUCACUACUUUAGCUCCAGAGGACCCAAUACCCUAUUCUGGUCUCUGUGGGUACCUGCACUAAUCCACUACCAUGCACAUAUUCACGAGCACACAGACAUAAUGAAAAAUCAAUUCUUACUUUUAAAGAAGAAUCUGAGCCUGGCUAAGUGGCACAUGCCUUUAAACCCUGCAUUUGGAAGGAGAGGCAGAGGCAAGCAGAUCACCAUGAGUUCCAGGCGAGCCUGAUCUAUAUGUAGCUUUUCCAGAGCAGCCAACGCUACAUAGUUUUCUCAAAAAAAAAAAAAAAUUUUGAACCCUUUUUCAUGUUAAUAAGUGUAUAUGAAAGGAGUUAAGCUG
rnacentral:lncRNA from 1 species